UUUUAUUGUUUUACUACAUUUAAGAUAAAAAAAAUUACAAAAAUAAGAUAAAUUAUUUCUAUUUUUUUUUAUUCAAAUUAAAGUAAGAAAUAAUUUAAACGAAAAUUAGAUAGUCUUCUUUUGGGAAUGAUAUUCGGACUCAUUAGUCUACUAUGUUACUUGUUACAAUUCAUACACUUAUAAAAUAUAAAAUCGACAACAAUGAGUGAUUCAAUCCGCUGUGUAAGUUACUCUAUAGUGCUAAAAUGUAGUGUACUAAUUUGGGAGGAACAUGAAAAUAUGUGUUUGUGCUCCUAAAGUCAACCAUCAUUUAAUUCGAACUUAAAGAAACCCUGUCGAACAAAAAGAAUCUAACCAAUUUUACUUGUACAUAUUCGGCCCAUCCAUUGAAACGUGUUUAAUUCCAGUAGCAAACAGGAACAAAUGUGUAAAGGUCCAGGUCAAAUUAUUUUGUGGUUUUGUUGAUUUAAAAGAAAAUAAAUUGCAGAAACAAGAGAAAUAGAACACAACGAUAUUUUUCGCCCCAAGGAGGGGCCCAGAUGUUCAGCCUUUCGACCUAAUCACCUGUCGAGCAUCUGUAAAUAGAUAUAGCUCAAGAUCCACUAAGAAGAACCAAGAAAAUGUUACAACAUGUACGAAGAAAGUGAAAGUUUCUUCGAUAUCUCUCUAGCCUCUUUACAGUAAGAAAUCACAAAGAUCAACCUCUACAAUGAAAGCACUCAACUCUCUUUUACAUGACAUAAGGAAGAUUCACCACUAAGAUGAAUUUUAACUAAUAAUCAAAACUUUUUAUUCAAUUGAGAAACAAUACAAUAAAAGUUAAGAAGCUAUUAUAUUUUGAUAUUUGGUGCAUAUAUCAUGAAAGAAAGUAGGAAAUCUCUCUCUCUCUCUCUCUCUCUCUCUCUCUCUCUCUCUCUCUCUCUCUCUGUGUUUGUUCGCAUAUUUAUGCGUAAGAAAAUGUUGGUCAUAGGAGCGUAGAGCUCAGAGAAGAUGAAUGUCGAUGUUCUUCAAACUAGAUAUGACUAAUGGCUCCAAUUAAGAGGAGCACAGCUUUCAACAAGACUCAGGACUCACACACUGGACAUGAGUAUGGGAAUAUAUAAAUCAUACUAGUCACUGAAGGCCUGAACUACAGGAGAUGGACGUGGCAAAUUCCAAUUUUCUGUAAGUUGUGAGAAGAAAUAUGGAGUUCAAGCCUUCAAGUGGCAUAGUACAUGAAGAAAAUACGACUAAAGUUUCCUAUCAACUAGAAACUAAUCCAACAUUACUUCACAGGUUUGCCCGCAUAUACAUAAAGAACACUUUAAUCCUCUUUCCUCACUGCUAUCAAUUUCUUUAUAUAAGGCAGGAAAAUGAACUAUAAGAAAAACAAGUUUUUGGAAAAUUUGCAGAAACCAACAGUCAUUUCUUCAAGUUUCCACACAGGUAAUGAAACACAAGAAUACACCAAUACAAAACAGCAUAUGACACAGCUAGAAAAACCCACAACUAGCAUCCAGAAAAUAAAAACCAUUUGUAACAAAAUAAAGGCCAAGAAGCCAAGGAAGAGGAAAAAACUGAAAAUUGUAUAAACAAACCAUUCACUGCACCCCAUGUGCCAAAAUACUUUAGAUUCUUUAAUACUCUUCCCUCCCAUCUAUUAGUGAGUACCAAAUGUGCCAUUAAAUGCCAAAAGAAGAACAGCACCAGAAGCAGCCCCCACAUAGUUAAACAACACAGAUAUCAUAUUCUAUAGGAUUUGAUCAAAUCGUUCUAAAUUUUGGUGAAAUUAGAAAGAUAGUUUUUUUUUUUUUCCUUCUUCAGUCAAUGAAAUCGAAACCCACGUGAUUGAUUACCAUCACAGGCGAAAAUGAAACUAGAGCAGUAAAAUAAUUACCCGGAAAUUGAUUUCAAAGGCCAAUUGAAGUUAAAAAUUAAAAAAAGAAAUAAUUUGCACAAGUAUUAACAAACAAAUUAGGAAUACGAGUACCUGCAGUGAACAAGGGAGUGUUCGAUUCGAAUGGCGUUUCAACAGACCCCGAAGCGGAAGCAGUUCUCGUUUCUGGAUCUUCAAGCCGAGUGUCUCGCAAAAUUUGCUUAACAAUGUAUUUCUGCUGAAUCUUUCUGCCUCAAUUCAAGAAUUGAAGAGGUGGAAUUAGGCUUGAGGGGAAGACAAUUUUGGGGAAAAACAUAAUGGAGGCGAAGAGAGCGAAAAACGUGGGCUCAGAAGGGUUUUGGGAGAUUAUUCUAUUUGACUUAUUGCAGUUCCUUUUUA
rnacentral:lncRNA from 1 species